CACCGCGGUUAUACGAGAGGCCCAAGUUGAUAGUAAACGGCGUAAAGGGUGGUUAAUGUCCCUCCCCCUCCAAAGUUGAACCCCCUCAAGGCUGUUAUACGCACCCGAUAGUAGGAAACCCACCAACGAAAGUGACUUUGAACUACAUGACCCCACGAAAGCUAGGCCA
rnacentral:rRNA from 1 species